UACGGAGGGUGCAAGUGUUAUUCGGAAUCACUGGGCGUAAAGAGCACGUAGGCGGAUAGGCAAGUCAGGUGUGAAAGCCCGGAGCUCAACUCCGGAAUUGCAUUUGAUACUGCUUGUCUUGAGUGAGGUAGAGGGGGGUGGAAUUCCCGGUGUAGAGGUGAAAUUCGUAGAUAUCGGGAGGAACACCAGAGGCGAAGGCGACCCCCUGGGCCUCUACUGACGCUGAGGUGCGAAAGCGUGGGGAG
rnacentral:rRNA from 1 species